AGGGUUUGAUUAUGGCUCAGGACGAACGCUGGCGGCGUGCUUAACACAUGCAAGUCGAACGAGAAUCUACUGAAAGAGUUUUCGGACAAUGGAUGUAGAGGAAAGUGGCGGACGGGUGAGUAACGCGUGAGGAACCUGCCUUGAAGAGGGGGACAACAGUUGGAAACGACUGCUAAUACCGCAUGACGCAUAGAGGUCGCAUGAUCUUUAUGCCAAAGAUUUAUCGCUUCAAGAUGGCCUCGCGUCUGAUUAGCUAGUUGGCGGGGUAACGGCCCACCAAGGCGACGAUCAGUAGCCGGACUGAGAGGUUGAACGGCCACAUUGGGACUGAGAUACGGCCCAG
rnacentral:rRNA from 1 species